rnacentral:lncRNA from 1 species
CAUCGUAAUAUACAUGUCCAUAUCAUACAUCAUUUUAUAAGAGAGUGUAGAGUGGAAGGUAGUGAGAUGAUUUUACAGAGCUUCAUUUCUCUAAGGGCGCGAUUUGCAAUUUUUCUUUUUGUUUUUGGAAGGAGGUUAUUUAAAUUUUUCAAAAGUUCUGCAUUUAACGCACGAAUAAUUGUAAACUGUGACACCAACUAUAUCUGAUUUGAUUUGACCCAAUGCUUUUUAGCCAGCUGGCUCUGGCAGACCUAUAGAGCACUGUUUCCCUCUGUAGAUAUGAGCUUCCUCUCUCUGCGAUAAAAGCCGUUUCACACAGGUUUCGUGAGCGUCAUAAAACAAUUAUCAUCCUUUCACCCUCGUUUACGGAGAUAAAUCUGAGGUAAUUUCCUGUUCAUCACUUAUAUCACAAGAAGAAUUUUCUUGAAUUUAUUAUUUUGGAGUAAAAAAAAGUCGUCUCUAUGUUGUGAUGGGGUUUUUUCAAGUUCCCAUCGAUGUUUAUGAAUAUUAUUUCCGAUUAGAAAACAUAUCAAAUGAGUUGUAGUUUUGGAUGAGUUAUUGAGAGUACAACUCAUUAACUCAAUAAAUAAUAGGAUUGUAUAUUAUGAGACCGUUUAUGUUUUUGUACAAAGAUGUUAUAAUCAUUUUUAGCCACUGAAUGUAAAAUUCAAUAUAUGAAAAUAUGUGACAUCAUUUGAAAAAUUUUGUUUUAGAUAUUGUACCUAAACAAUGACAUAUCAUCAACUACUAGAUUUCAAAUCUCACGGUCAAUGAUGAUUGUGAACUCCUUGUAUUAAAAGUAAAUGGUCUCAUUGUAUUCAUUUCCAUUAGUAAUAUACUGACCUAGCUAAAUCUUGGAAAUGUACUUGCUGGUACUUAUUAUAUCUCAAGAUCUUACCGAGUCGGCGACGUUUUCAAAGAAAGCAAGACCAUAUUGUGCCUCCAGGUAUUCUUCAAUUUUAGUCUUGAGUCUCUCCCCUCCCUCCUUAUGUAGAUCAAAAUCUGGUGGCUAUAAAAUGUGGGUGGUAGACUUUUAAUUUUUUAUUAUAAUUUGUUUUUUAGAAAUAGGAUUAGUAGGAGUUUUUUUAGUUUAGUGGAUAAAGUUUGUAUUUUAUGAGUUGGCUUAGGAAUGCUGAGUUCUAUUUUGUGAUCCGUAUUUUCUUAGGAAAGUAAAAUCAUUAGUCUUUUAAAAGCAAAUAAAAGAUAGAAAUCGUUUUUAGGGGGAUAGGAGGUCACGUUUAGAAAAAUUUAUCUCUUGUAUUAGUUUCGGGUACAACGUAUUUAUCUUUAGUUUUUAGGAAAUAUAUUUUAUUUCCUAUUUUAAAUGGAGCGUUAUUUUUUUGGGUUGGGAUGAAACUACGGAAGAUAAUGACUCACUCAGGGGUAAAGUAUAAAGCAGGGAGUUGUAGGAUAGUGUAAAGGAUAAAGCAAGGAGUUGUAGGAUAAAGCAGGGAGUUGUAGUUAUGAGAUAUAGUAAGGGUUAUCUUGAGAGUCACGUGAGAUACUGAUUUAAAUGUAAAAAAUAAGGAGAUACACACGAUGUAAAAGGCGAUUGAAUUUUAUAAAAUAACAAAGUGUUUUUUUGUAGAGAGAGAGUAGGUUUUUUGUGGAUGUUAUUUAUUUUUUUGUGUUUAUAGGCUGUGCCUAAAUACUCAUAUGCACAUGUUUUGUUCUUUCUUGUAAUUUUCUACACGAUUUUUAUUUGUCUCUUUUAAAUGCGGUUAAUUUGCCGGGUAGUAUUUGUUAGUAAAUUUUAUAUUGCAUCAUGUGGUAUCAAAGUGUAAUCGUUUCGUGUGAAUUGUGGUGUUCGUCGAUUGGCAUCAUGGCUCGUAGACAAAGUCUAUGGCCGAGCAUCGAAACUCAACCCAUUCAACAUGAAUGAAAUUUUCGAUAUCUCCGUAUGAUAGAUUUCAAAAGUUUGAGAAGGCAAGUAAAAGAGCUGACCAUGCACUUUGUGUAAAAAUAACCUUGACACACCAUACCAACGUUCUGUGUCGCGAGCCUCAUGGUCGGGAGAUUGCUCACGCUCUGUAUUAGGAGCCUCAUGGUCGGAAGAAUGAUCUAUUUCCUCAUGGUCGGGAGAUUGAUUACGUUCAGUGUUGGGAGCCUCAUGGUCAAAAGAAUGAUCUAUUUCCUCAUGGUCGGGAGAUUGAUCUACCUAAGUUUGAUGAAGAACCAGUUGAAGAUGAAAAACAUGUAGUUUUGGAUCUUCAAUUGCAAUCGUCAUUCACGGAUGUCAUAGGUUACCUCAUCUUUGAUGAUUCGGAUGUCAUAGGUUGCCCCAUCUUUAAUGAAGCUUUUGUUUUUUAUGAAGAACAAGAUAAAAGGAAAGAAAUUAUGAAUGAGGCAACAAUGAUAUUUAAUUUUCUUAUCGAUUAAGAGGUGGAUAAUCAAGAUGACUUGAUCCCAAAGGAGAUCGAGCAUAUGGAGAUAUAUGACGAAGAAACCAAUGAGAUCAAGCCUAUGGAGAUGUAUGACGAAGAAACCGAUGCAUUCGUGUUGUGCCCAAGGUGAAGUUUGAGCAAUUUCAGAAAGUGCACAUGGCUGAAAAUCUAUCUAUGACGACCUUUUUCUCGAGGGUUUCUCAGUUUUUAAGUAUAAUCAUCAUGCUUUGAUCAACGCAGUAACCCACAAGUUCCAAUAUCGUGUUUACAACAUUUGGAUCGAAGAAGGUGACGAAACAAAUACAAAGUUGAUUUUGGCGCAUUUCAAAACUCGAGGUCGAGUUUUCUCCAACAAAGAAAGAAUGAUGCAGAUCAAAACCUGGUGGCUACAAAUUUUAAUUUUUUUUUAUUAAUUUAUUUUUAGAGAUGUGGAUAGACUUUUUAUUUCAUAUUAGAGUUAAUUGUUUUUUAGAAAUAGGAUUAGUAUAAGUUUUUUUAGUUUAGUUGAUAAAGUUUGUUUUCAUGGGUUGCCUUGGGAAGGUUCAGUUCUAUUUUGUGGUCCGUAUUUUCUAGGAAAGUAAAGUCAUUGGAGUCUUGCUUUUAUAAGCAAAUAAGAGAUGAAAUCAUUUUUGGUAGUAAUGGGGAUAGGAGGUCACGUUUAGGAAAGUUUAUCUCUUGGAUUCGGUUGAAACUAGGGAAGUUAAUGAGUUGCGUGUAAAAGAUCAAGUAGAGAAUUGUAGUUAUUUUUUAGGAACUCGAAUGGAAGAAUAUGGAAAGAAUUUAUUUUGGAUAAUUAUCAUAUUUUGUUAUUAGCAUUGAGAUAUAUUAGGAGUUAUCUUUUGAGAGUCCCAUGAUAUGAUGAUUUAAAUGUAUAAAAGAGGAGGCAUGCACCAUGUAAAAGGAGAUUGAAUUUUAUGAAAUAAAUAAAGUGCUUUCUUGUAAA